AUCAAAAGCAGGAUACGUCUAUUGACUGAGACACAGCUAAACGUGAAACUCGCCCAGCUAUCGAAAAASAAAUGUGACAUAAUGAUUCAAUUGUCUGAAAUGGAGAUACUGGACUAUGACGCRCCAGUGAAAAGGUUGCGGGCAUGCCUGCAGUCCUCUCAAGAGGAUAGUCAGGAGCUGGAGGAUAUGAAGAAACAAUGGGACAUCAGAGCUGGAGAAAUGGAGGCAUUUCAUCUCCAGCUCCAGGAGCGUGUUGAACGCAUACAGAAACUGAAAGCUGUUUGGGGACCGAUGGAACCACUUAAAGAGCAUCACGGUGGGGAUGCCAGGAUCCCUAGUGCCACCAACACCCAAUCUACCGUUACAGAGAUCAAGAGUGAGGAAAACAUUGAGAUCGAGGUCACUGUGAUGAAGGAUGCAAGCUUAAUCAACACCACAGUGGAGGAGGUGAACAGGGGUCUUCAGGACAAAAAUUGUCAGCUUGAAGAGAAGAAUGCCGCUCUACAUCAAAAACUCCACAGCACUGAGAAGAUGUAUAGACAGACUCUAAACRAG
rnacentral:lncRNA from 1 species